CAUGACAUAUAACAUUGGUCAUACAUGGACGGAUUUAUAGAGAUUCGUCUCUAACAAAUUUGAUUUUGCCGGAGUUAUACUUCACUACCUGCUGCUGCUUUGCUGUUCACGUCGGAGAAAAAUGGAGGGGAAGCACAGGCUGAUGCUGGUUUUGCUUCUCGUCGGCGGCUGCUUGUUAUUGGUGUCGGAGCUCUCGCUGGAAAAUGGAGAGGAAAAGCGAUCUGUUACGUUUUCGGACGGACUUGCCUACAUCUCUGGUGGUAUCAUCAGUCGGAGCUGCUGAUGGCGUCAGCUAUUGCUGCUCCUCGCCUGGAUGCUGCAUGUUGUUGUUAUACGCCCUCGCCGGAGAAAGAGAAGAGAGGAUAGAGGAGGGAGAGCUGCUGAGGGAGAAGACGAAGAGAGCAACGAAGAGGAGGUGCUGAUGCCUCCUCUGGUUUCGCCGGAGGAGAAGAGAG
rnacentral:misc_RNA from 1 species